UACGAAGGGUGCAAACGUUGCUCGGAAUUAUUGGGCGUAAAGCGCACGUAGGCGGCUUGGCAAGUCGGAUGUGAAAGCCCUCGGCUCAACCAAGGAAGUGCAUCCGAAACUGCUGAGCUUGAGUACUUAAGAGGAUCGCGGAAUUCCCGGUGUAGAGGUGAAAUUCGUAGAUAUCGGGAGGAACACCGGUGGCGAAGGCGGCAUCCUGGACCGGCAUUGACGCUGAGGCGCGAAAGCCAGGGGAGCAAACGGG
rnacentral:rRNA from 1 species